GCAGAUCAUUCCUAGGCAUGUUAUAAGCUUUAGUGUCUCUUCCCUUUCACAUUGCAUUAAUGUGCUUCAUAAGCCAAAAAUACCUCCCAAACGUAUUGAAACUUACUUUCAAACUGAAAUUCUUCAUUAAACUGGUAAUUAAUUGACAUUUGUUCUAUCCUCUCUCCACUUCCAGUAAGAUAUACUACUGUAGCCCUGUUUAUAAUGCCACCUUAUCUGAAGCAUAGACAUUUUUGUCUUUUUCAGUGUGCUGCGGGCAAGUAUCACAUUGUUUUUCUUUUAGUUGUAUUUGUGACUUAGUUGUUUAGAAGGUAGGUAUGUAGAUGUGGUAUUCUAGAAAUUUGAUUGCAACUAUUCAAAUCAACUACUCAAACCCAUCAAACUGUUCAUGUUAAAAUUAGAGUGCAGCAGCCUCUGGAGGGCUACAUAUCAGCCAUCUGUAUUCUGAUUGUUACUUAACAAUAAUUUUGCUUAGAUUUACUGAAAAGCAUCUUAUACUAUUUCUAAAUGAAUAAGAAAACUGAGGAAAGUAGCUCAUAAAUCAACUAGUGUAUGCAAAGUGAUUUGUCAUAAGAAAAAGUCUCCAUCUCCUUUGGCAACCUGAAAUAAUAUAAAAUGAAAAAUAAACUAAGUUACCAAAACAAAAAUGUGGAACAUUACAUAUGAAAUGCACAUUUUCUGCCUUUCUUAGUCCCUUUUAUUAUAUACAACUGAACUCAUGUUUAUCAAACCUCAUCAUGUUUUCAACUCCUUGGGUUUUCAUUAAAUAGGAAAUUUGUAUUCUAAGGUCAUAUGCAGCACCAAAUCGUAUGUGUCUCCCCUAGAAUACUAUCCAACUAUAUUGUCUAAAACCUGCUAGAAAAUAGGUUUGAAAUCUUGUGUAUGUAUUUGCUUUGUGUUAUCAUGCUGCUGCUCUGAUGGCUUUGUCACCACAAAACAUUUUAAACACAGUCAUAAUAACCAAAGGAUAUCCACCCCAACUUAGUUUAUGAACAGUGUUUUGUUAUGGCUUGCCAACUCUACUCAUUUUAGGCUGGUUCUUAAAUGGUGGCAUCAUUGAGAUUGGGAAUAUUGCAGUGUUUUUACAUUAUUUUGUUAAAAUUGCACUGAAAAAUACAAAUUUUGAAUAGGAGUCUAACAAACCUAUAAUUCUAUGAGUUGUUUGGAAUGUAGUAUGGGCACUUCCACAUGACAAUAUUUUUACUUCUGAUGACCUAUAACAAUGGGCCAGUAACACAGUGAGCCAUUCAAUAGGCAAACAGGAGAAUAUGGGAUUUAGGUAGGGUCCCAGCCCCGACCUACAACAACUCUGAAGGAACAAAAGUUACUUUAUCCUCAGUCCACACAAAAAGGGGGGAAAAUGAAUUGUUAUGUCCUCUACCUUGCCCAAGGCCUGAUAUUUUCAGUAUCUGAUAUGUGCAUUCAUACGGUCCUUUACAAAAUGUUCAGAGCUGUUGAGCUAUGAAGAUAAAGGCAUAUCUCUUCCUAGAUAGAAAUUCCCAUUGAAAACUGUGACAUGCAGCAAGCUGAUUUAUUCAAUAAUGGCAAUGAUGAUUGUAGGUUGCAACAUACUUUGAAAAUAUAACGGUAACCUGACAAAUAUGUGGGGAAGGAGGGGCAGAAGUUGGUAAGUGUGGUUAUUUAAAUAGGUUUUUUUCAAUCAAAAAGAAAGAGUGAAACUGACUAGAUAGAUUACGAUUGCCUAUAGAGACAACAUGUUUUGCAUUUUAAGUGUUUCAAAUAUAAAAUAUUCUGUUUUAAGUUUGAAACAUUUUUUCAACCUUAAGACACUUCCCAAAUGAUGCAAACAAUUCAUUUUGAAUGCAGAACAGCUCUUUUUACUUGAAAA